ensembl:lncRNA
UGGUGAAUAAAGGGUAUUCCUGGGUAUUAGUGUCAUGGUGCUGUCCUGGUUUCUGUAAUCCAAACUCUCCUAAUGCAUCUAAAGCUUGUGCUAGCCAGGAAACCCGGACAGAUGCUUCGACCCGACACCAAUACGAAAAGCUUAUUUAUUCUUCUACUCCACAAAAACACUAAAACGUGAACACAACACCAGCUAAUUACACCAUGAACAAAGACCACGAAUAAAUAAUUAAUAUAUUUUUUCUUAUGCUCAGCUCAAAAAUAUUAGUAAAAAAUAUUUAUUAUUAUUUAAUAUUUAACUUUUAUUUAUCAUUUUAUAUAUAUAUAUAUAUAUAUAUAUAUAUAUAUAUAUAUAUAUAUAUAAUAUUUUAAAUUUAAUACUUGUCCAACAACUAACUUUAUUUGCCUACCAAUAAAUCAAUUAAAUAAAUAAAUAUUUUUCUGUUUUUGAAAAAAUAAAAUAAUUUAAAAAAGUUAUACAAAAGAGUAAUUCAUCUAAAAAGGAUGAAUAUGUCAUUCUUUUGCUAGCUCAGGCUUUCUGCCUUGAAUUCAAAGUCAAACAGCUUUAGUGUGUUUCUGGAAGGGUCAGAUCUCAUGACUGUGGUAAGCAGAUCAGUGUGUGUGAAUGGCUCGUCCACAAACACAAAGGAGAAGCUCUCUGCGCUGCCGGCUCGCCGUUUGCCCCGGGGCUGCAGUCAUCCUGAUAACUCAAGCCUAAAAAAAACACACACACACACACACACACACACUCGUUCUGCUGAAAUCAACAGUUAAUAGUUCAACUCUUCUUAUCAAUAUGUAGCAUCAGC